rnacentral:misc_RNA from 1 species
UUGAAUAAACCUGGUGGACUGUCGCUGGCUCCCAGGAGCAUGUGCACGUCUGCCAUCUUUAUCCAUCCACCUGUGCACACUAUGUAGUCCUCAAAGGUCAUUGAACGAGUAGCGGUCACUGUGACUGCCAAAGCGCCUUGUCCCUUGGGUCUAUGUCUUUUCAUACACCCCUUUGCAUGUCAAUAGAAUGUGAUUGUUGGGUCACUGUACCUAUAACAAAUGUAAUA